rnacentral:lncRNA from 10 species
CCCAAAGUGCUGGGAUUACAGGCAUGAGCCACCGCGCCUGGCCUUAAAUUACUUUUCAAAAAAUUAUACUAAAUUGCUGCCUCACCAGGAGGUUAUCAGAAUAUCUUUUUCAUAUUCUUGUCCACAGAGAGAAAUGGGAUAAUAAAUUAUUUGUUAAUUUGGAGAGCAAAAAUUUCAUUAUGCUUAUACUUUAAUUUGCAUUUAUUUAUUUGUGAGCUUAAUUUUUCGCAUAUUUAUUGACUAUUUGCCUCUUUAACUUGUAUCUUUUGUUCACAUCAUUUAUAGCAUGUUUUCAUAUUGAUUGAUGUGUGCCUUUAUUUAUUGCUAUUAACACUUUUUUCAUUAUUUCGGCAACUACUAUUUUUAUGAUGUUAUUUUAAUUCUGUUUAUAUUUUGAGUUUUCCUUUAAUCUUCCUACGCCAAAUGUUUUGACUAUCUUGAAAUUAAUGAAAUUAAGCACCUGAGUUAUGUCAGCUAAAUUGUGCCAAUAAUAUGCCAAAUAGCUUUUAAACAUUGGCAAAUAACUGGAUAGCCUACUCAAUUUUUCAUUUUUAUUAUUAGUAUUAUCAGUUUCUAAGCCUCCACUUAACAUUUACAAUAUAAGUGCUCAGAGAGUAAACAUUGAUUUAAAGUUAAAGAAAUUGAGCAAGCAUGCUCCUUACAAAUUUUUGUCUUGAAAACAUUCUAUUGAGUACAGAGAUAAAAAUAGGACCUUCUCUUCAGUUUUCUGCGCUAAUUAUUCAUUUUAUUUAAAUAACAGUCUGAGCAGCUAAGAGGCUAUCAGUUGCAAAAUGCAAUAUAUGCAAUUUUGUGGCUGUGAUUUAUUUGCUAUUCAUUUAAGGAUAUGAUCUACUUUCAAAGAGGCUCACACUUGCCAGAACAUUUGCAAAUCUGUAAUCUUCAACAUACAGAAACAAUUUUCAAGUAUAAAAAUAUAGCUGUUUUUGAAUUAUUAAGGGUAUUAAGUUUGGUUGUAUAAGCUAUAGAAAUUACAUUCUAAACUGGGCAAUAAUUUAAUUAGCCUGUUACGAAGACAAUUUAAUGAAAUAAAUGGCAACAUUUGAUUGAGAGCCUUAACAUCCAGUAUUGUAUAAUAUCUUUAAUUGAAUUUCCUGUAGGAUGAGCAUAAAGAGAUACUUGGAAAGAGGAAUUUUUAUUUCUAUCAUGAUGAAGAAAAGAGGCUUUUAUUAUUUUAGGAUCUAGUUGCACAAAAUUGUCCACCAAUAGUUACUUGAUCAAAACUGGGAUGAUCAUAUCAUUUAUUCUCAAGCUGAAGCAUUUUUGAUAGUAAAUGCAGAUAGUUGAAUAAUUAGAAUAAUAGAAUUUUUGAAAUAGUUAUACUUAGAUUGAUUAUGCUGGUGGGCCUAUACCUCAGUUCUUAUAAAAUUAUUUAUUAUUUUAGUAUUAGUCAUAUUAUAUGCAGCUCUUUACCAUCAAAUCAUUGACUUCAUUUUCAUUCUAUAAUGGUACAUAAUAUAAAUUAGUUCAACCAUUGUGGAAAACAG